UCAGACCUACAGAAAAACGUGGAGCUCAUCCUAAAGAAGCUGGGGCAACUGGUGCAUUAUGUCGGGCCUUAAAACGGCCAACCGCAUACUCGCGCGGUGCAGGCAACUCAGUUGCCUGACAUGGCAACUCCGUCGCCAUCCAUCUUGGGCCGGUGAGAGGAGGAGAGAAACUCACCCCGGGAGCUUCGUGAGUGUUAUGAGUGAGUUGGAGUUUGAGUGACAAACCCCAAAUUAAUUUAGCCAUGGCAGAUUGCUUUAAAAUCCUGAUUGACGACCUUCUUGGGUUUGGACACGGUCUGCUCGGGCCAGGAGUCCAGAGUAAAGCUCAGUAGGCAUCGCGCCCAUAGGUUAUAGCCAGUCACUUCACUCAGUGGCUGCUACCGCCGACUCGGAAGAAAAGAACCACCAGCCUGGAUAACGCCUGCUUAUGAUAACGUCGUUCCGUCUGUGUGUGUGUGUGUGAAGGGGGCGCUGCUCGAGUGCACCGCAAGUCCAUUUAACGUAACUUUGGCAGAGAUGGCCCUAGACCUAGACCUGGCUGCCAGGAUGGUUCUUCUCCGGCUGCCACGUCUCGCUGCAUCACUCAAACACAGAGGGGCGACAAGGAUGCGUGUGUGUCAGCCCAUGUCCCUGUCCGUGCACCAGCUACGUAACUGUGUGAGCAUCGUAAUUUGCAUGGUCAGCUUCUAGUUGUGGGACACACUAAGUGGCAAGUGGUUCCUCGUCCCUGGCUUAAUUGCAUGCAGGAAUAGAAGCAGCAGCAGAGCAGCCGCAUCAGCAUCGGCAACUUCAUCCAAUUGCUGUUACCCACUUUUGGGGAAUGGCCCAUGCACAUUCUCGGUGCCAUCGAAAGCGAUUCUUUCCACCUUAAAGCGCACACUUUAUGGAAUUUCGUAGUGUUAUCUGACUGGGCCAAGCACCCAUCCACCGAUGGCCGGGACAAAUUCAAUUGCAGACAGC